AAAGAAAAAACUUUCAACAACGGAUCUCUUGGUUCUGGCAUCGAUGAAGAACGCAGCAAAAUGCGAUAAGUAAUGUGAAUUGCAGAAUUCAGUGAAUCAUCAAAUCUUUGAACGCACAUUGCGCCC
rnacentral:rRNA from 1 species